AUUGAACGCUGGCGGCAUGCUUUACACAUGCAAGUCGAACGGUAACAGGGAGCUUGCUCCGCUGACGAGUGGCGAACGGGUGAGUAAUGCGUCGGAACGUGCCGAGUAGUGGGGGAUAACGCAUCGAAAGGUGUGCUAAUACCGCAUACGUACUGAGGUAGAAAGUGGGGGACCUUCGGGCCUCACGCUAUUCGAGCGGCCGACGUCUGAUUAGCUAGUUGGUGAGGUAAAGGCUCACCAAGGCGACGAUCAGUAGCGGGUCGGAGAGGAUGGCCGGCCACACGGGGACGGGGGCACGGACCAGAGUCCUACGGGAGGCAGCAGUGGGGAAUUUUGGACAAUGGGCGGAAGCCUGAUCCAGCCGUGCCGCGUGUCUGAAGAAGGCCUUCGGGUUGUAAAGGACUUUUGUCCGGGAGCAAAUGCUGGUGGCUAACAUCCACCGGAGCUGAGAGUACCGGAAGAAUAAGCACCGGCUAACUACGUGCCAGCAGCCGCCGUAAAAC
rnacentral:rRNA from 1 species